UACGGAGGGGGCUAGCGUUGUUCGGAAUUACUGGGCGUAAAGCGCACGUAGGCGGCUUUGUAAGUUAGAGGUGAAAGCCCAGGGCUCAACCCUGGAAUUGCCUUUAAGACUGCAUCGCUAGAAUUGUGGAGAGGUAAGUGGAAUUCCGAGUGUAGAGGUGAAAUUCGUAGAUAUUCGGAAAGAACACCAGUGGCGAAGGCGACUCACUGGACCGGUACUGACGCUGAUGGCGC
rnacentral:rRNA from 1 species